UGCCGGACUUUGACUUUCUGGAUUUGUUUCCCCUUCAAGGAAUCAUAACACGACUGGAUAUGAGCAGAACAAAACAGUGCGUGCUGCUGCUCUUGAGGAGCUUCCUCUUUUUGUUCCUUCUGCCCCUCCCCACCUGUGUUAGGAGACAAGCAGAUGAAGACACUCAAGCCUCACAUCUGUCUUCAAGCCAGACUUUGGUCUCAGCGUCUGAUCAGAAGGUGGAGCUUCUGGCGGUAGAGGUCAACAAUGAAGAAUUGUGAGCCAGUGCCUACUUCUCUCUACAAGUGAAAGGAAGACAGAAAAGAGCCACAUCUCAGAGUUCGGGACACAAGAUGAAGAGGACUGACGAAUACGUCAAGGUCUGCAAGCGCCCUGAUCGAUUGGUCCACAGCUCUUCACGCCUCACGCAGCCUCCAGGGAGCCAAGUUCUCCAUCAGAUCCUCUACAGCAGCCACAGACGAACCACUGAGUCAAAUCAAGGCCACACUGAUCUUCAUCACUGUAAAGAACAACAAAGGAACCACAAUGAGCUUCCACUCAUAAUGGAACGCAAUCUGCACAGCAAACGGUGCGAACCGAGGCUCCAGCGCUUUCAUGGCAGAAUUGAGCAGGAGUACCACACCGUUGACGACCGAGAGGAGACGCUAUCCGUACUCAUCCGUCCGGCCCUACCCAUUCCCUCCAACAGAGACUACGUUGACCGAUGUAUGUCUUCUAAGGACUCAUCUCCAGCAAUGAAUAAAAGUCCCGAUACUCCACCCAGAGUGCCGAGAAGGAAUGUUCCAGGACCUGCUGUCCACAGAGAACUGAAGCCCAGCCGGCAGCAGAGAGCUCAGCAGGCCUAUGACAAAAAGAGGGCAGAUCAAGAUGCAGAGAGCCUGUUCACUUCCCAGAGGUAA
rnacentral:lncRNA from 1 species